UACGUAGGGUGCAAGCGUUGUCCGGAAUUAUUGGGCGUAAAGAGCUCGUAGGCGGUUUGUCGCGUCGGAUGUGAAAACCCGGGGCUCAACCCCGGGCCUGCAUUCGAUACGGGCAGACUAGAGUGCGGUAGGGGAGUCUGGAAUUCCUGGUGUAGCGGUGAAAUGCGCAGAUAUCAGGAGGAACACCGGUGGCGAAGGCGGGUCUCUGGGCCGGAACUGACGCUGAGGAGCGAAAGCGUGGGGAGCGAACAGG
rnacentral:rRNA from 1 species